GGUCCCAUGCGUGUAGCGGUUAGCACUCAGGACUCUGAAUCCUGCGACCCGAGUUCGAGUCUCGGUGGGACCU
rfam:Macrostomum lignano unitig_21504, whole genome shotgun sequence.